AUUGAACGCUGGCGGCAUGCCUUACACAUGCAAGUCGAACGGCAGCACGGGAGCAAUCCUGGUGGCGAGUGGCGAACGGGUGAGUAAUAUAUCGGAACGUGCCCGGUCGUGGGGGAUAACGUAGCGAAAGCUACGCUAAUACCGCAUACGAUCUACGGAUGAAAGCGGGGGAUCGCAAGACCUCGCGCGAUUGGAGCGGCCGAUAUCAGAUUAGGUAGUUGGUGAGGUAAAGGCUCACCAAGCCGACGAUCUGUAGCUGGUCUGAGAGGACGACCAGCCACACUGGGACUGAGACACGGCCCAGACUCCUACGGGAGGCAGCAGUGGGGAAUUUUGGACAAUGGGCGCAAGCCUGAUCCAGUAAUGCCGCGUGCAGGAUGAAGGCCUCGGUUGUAAC
rnacentral:rRNA from 1 species